rnacentral:rRNA from 1 species
UACGUAGGGUGCAGGCGUUAAUCGGAAUUACUGGGCGUAAAGCGUGCGCAGGCGGUUUCUUAAGUCAGAUGUGAAAGCCCCGGGCUUAACCUGGGAAUGGCGGUUGAAACUACAGGACUAGAAUCUGGCAGAGGGGGGUGGAAUUCCACGUGUAGCAGUGAAAUGCGUAGAGAUGUGGAGGAACACCGAUGGCGAAGGCAGCCCCCUGGGCUGAGAUUGACGCUCAGGCACGAAAGCGUGGGGAGCAAACAGG